rnacentral:rRNA from 1 species
CAAGUCGCACGAAGAAAGUGGAGCAAUCCAUGAGUAAAGUGGCGCACGGGUGAGUAACACGUGACUAACCUACCCUCGAGUGGGGAAUAACCUAGGGAAACCUGGGCUAAUACCGCAUAACACUUACGAGUCAAAGCAGCAAUGCGCUUGGGGAGGGGGUCGCGGCAGAUUAGCUAGUUGGUGAGGUAAUGGCUCACCAAGGCGAUGAUCUGUAUCCGGCCUGAGAGGGCGCACGGACACACUGGAACUGAAACACGGUCCAGACUCCUACGGGAGGCAGCAGUGGGGAAUUUUGCGCAAUGGGGGAAACCCUGACGCAGCAACGCCGCGUGGAGGAUGAAAUCCCUUGGGAUGUAAACUCCUUUCGAUCGGGACGAUUAUGACGGUACCGGAAGAAGAAGCCCCGGCUAACUUCGUGCCAGCAGCCGCGGUAAUACGAGGGGGGCGAGCGUUGUUCGGAAUUAUUGGGCGUAAAGGGUGCGUAGGCGGUUUGAUAAGUCUGAUGUGAAAUCUAUGGGCUCAACCCAUAGUCUGCAUUAGAAACUGUCGGGCUUGAGUAUGGGAGAGGUGAGUGGAAUUUCCGGUGUAGCGGUGAAAUGCGUAGAUAUCGGAAGGAACACCUGUGGCGAAAGCGGCUCACUGGACCAUUACUGACGCUGAUGCACGAAAGCUAGGGGAGCAAACAGGAUUGGAUACCCUGGUAGUC